UGAUUGGAGGAGGCUUGGUGGGAGGGUGGCUUGAUGGGCGUGGCCAACGGCUGGAGGAGAAGCAGUUGAGAGCAGUUAAUUUCGGGAAGCGCCCUGCGCAUUUUUCCUGAGGUGGCGCUGACUUAGUUGAGGAACAGGCUUUUGGGGAUUCCCCCCUCCAGGAAGAUCAGAACUGCUAUAAGGACGCAGGAAAACCCUUGAGGCCCAGGACGUGGAGAACUGGGCACACUCUCCCUCAACCCAGGAUUCCAGUCUCCCAUCCCAAGGAGGAGAGCCACCUGAAUGCCAUGAAAGACACUGGGACUCCGGGGACAAGAUGGGUCAAUCAAGCCAUAACAAAGAGCAUGGAGGCAGCCCUUUUGUCCACCCCGCCAUCUUCUAGGAACUGGGAAGCACCCUUCAGGAGUCUCCGCUCCAGUGGACCUUCCCAGGCUCCUUCCUUCCCAGCCUUUGCUGUGGCAUUAGCCAUCUGGAAAAGGAGCUGCUAGUAGGACCCUGACUUUUGUUCCUGGCGCCACUCCCACCCCUUCCCCUCCUGAUAUCCAGUACUCUACCUUCAGGGAGGAGACGUGAAUUUCAGGCAGCAGGAAAAAAACCGAGCCUUCAGGGUUAUGGUUCCCUCCGAGGCCAAGGUUCCCAUGACCGUCAGUAGAGAGGGCUGGCUGGGCUGGGCCCCUUCCCUUCCUCACUCUUCUUUUCCCUUUUUG